rnacentral:sRNA from 1 species
CUGUUAGUCCUGGAGGCUCAAGUCCUCUGUUUAUCCACACAACAGGAACAACACAAUCAACAGCAGUGCAAACUUCUCCCACACCAUGCCUUAACUCUAAUCGGUGGCUUUGUCCUACCAGAGCCGAGAGGGCAGAGGAGUCUCCACGGCUCAUUCAGGUCUGGGCCUCU